GAUUGAUUGGCUUGGAGGAAUUCUGAUCUAGGAGACCAUGAGGCAGGAAUUUGUCUUGUGCUUUGAAAGCACCUUUGAGAGCCUUGCUGG